GGCGCGGUGUUCCGGCGCUCGGGUGCCGGGCGGCCGUGCCGCGUACGGUAGGCGCGGUGUAUUUUUGGGGUUGGAUUCGUGUUGAUUUCUGGGGGCUUCCAGGUGCGGCCGCUCCCCGAGAAGCGAGACCGUGCUGAGGACGUGGUUGUCUGUCCUUCCCCCGGGGAUGCCGUUGACUGCGGCCGUCUCAGGCUUGCGUGGCUUCUCUCUGCCCGGUGUUGCCAUCCUCGCAGCGCGGGGGCGAAAAGGGACACACAGAGCCCUUCCCGGCUGUGGACAGGAGCUGCCUCGGCUGAAGCUGGAGACGCCAACGAAAGGUGGAGGACGGCCUAGAGUCUGGAGCUGCAGAAGAGGCAGGGCGGAGAGG